AUGCAACGACUCGGUUUCUCGCUGCGGUGGAGAGAUUGGGUGGCGCUGCUCCUCUCCUCGGCUUCCUCAACCUGUCUCCUCAAUAGCGCGGAGGGAGCCAUCAUCCAGCACCAGCGUGGCUUACGGCAAGGCGACCCGCUGUCCCCUCUCCUCUUUAUCCUCGCGAUAGAUCCUCUUCACCGCCUGAUCGCCGCGGACAUGCGAGCCGGCGCCCUCGCCCCGCUCCCAACGGGUGUGGUGGGGCUGCGGGUCAGCUUAUAUGCGGAUGACGCUGUCGUUUUCUUCAACCCAAGUAGACAGGAUGUGGAUGGGCUCAUGGAGCUGUUGUAG
rnacentral:rRNA from 1 species